CCUUAAAGAAGCGUUCUUUGCAGUGCUCACACAGAUUGUCUGAUAAAAAGUGAAAAGCAAGGCGUCUUGCGAUUGAAACUGAUGCGUCCCCUUCGCCCACCGGCCCAGGACACCGCCCUUUCACGGAGGCAACAGGGGUUCAAAUCCCUUAGGGGACGCAUCUUGCUAGUUUGUGACUGAAAGUCAUGUGCCUUAAUAUCUCCUGGUUCCUCUUCGGGUGAUGUUUGAGAUAUUUGCUCUUAAAAAAUCUGGAUCCUCCUGAAUAUUGAAACACUAAACAAAAAAAGUAGUUCAUAAGGCACUCACAUUUGCGCAAUGCGAAGAUUUAUCCUAUGAAAAAUCUGCUGGUUGUGA
rnacentral:misc_RNA from 1 species